CGAACGGGAUGCUUAGGCAUCUAGUGGCGGACGGGUGAGUAACGCGUGAGAAUCUGGCUCCAGGUCGGGGAUAACAGUUGGAAACGACUGCUAAUACCGGAUGUGCCGAGAGGUGAAAGAUUUAUUGCCUGGAGAUGAGCUCGCGUCUGAUUAGCUAGUUGGUGGUGUAAGGGACCACCAAGGCGUCGAUCAGUAGCUGGUCUGAGAGGAUGAUCAGCCACACUGGGACUGAGACACGGCCCAGACUCCUACGGGAGGCAGCAGUGGGGAAUUUUCCGCAAUGGGCGAAAGCCUGACGGAGCAAUACCGCGUGAGGGAGGAAGGCUCUUGGGUCGUAAACCUCUUUUCUCAAGGAGGAAGAAAGUGACGGUACUUGAGGAAUAAGCAUCGGCUAACUCCGUGCCAGCAGCCGCGGUAAUACGGAGGAUGCAAGCGUUAUCCGGAAUGAUUGGGCGUAAAGGGUCUGCAGGUGGAACUGAAAGUCUGCUGUUAAAGAGUUUGGCUUAACCAAAUAAAAGCGGUGGAAACUACAGAACUAGAGUGUGGUAGGGGCAAAAGGAAUUCCUGGUGUAGCGGUGAAAUGCGUAGAUAUCAGGAAGAACACCGGUGGCGAAAGCGUUUUGCUAGACCAUAACUGACACUGAGGGACGAAAGCUAGGGGAGCGAAUGGGAUUAGAUACCCCAGUAGUCCUAGCCGUAACGAUGGAUACUAGGCGUGGCUUGUAUCGACCCGAGCCGUGCCGGAGCUAACGCGUUAAGUAUCCCGCCUGGGGAGUACGCACGCAAGUGUGAAACUCAAAGGAAUUGACGGGGGCCCGCACAAGCGGUGGAGUAUGUGGUUUAAUUCGAUGCAACGCGAAGAACCUUACCAAGACUUGACAUCCUGCGAAUCCUGGUGAAAGCUGGGAGUGCCUUAGGGAGCGCAGAGACAGGUGGUGCAUGGCUGUCGUCAGCUCGUGUCGUGAGAUGUUGGGUUAAGUCCCGCAACGAGCGCAACCCUCGUUUUUAGUUGCCAGCAUUAAGUUGGGCACUCUAGAGAGACUGCCGGUGACAAACCGGAGGAAGGUGAGGAUGACGUCAAGUCAGCAUGCCCCUUACGUCUUGGGCUACACACGUACUACAAUGCUACGGACAGAGGGCAGCGAGCCAGGGAUGGCAAGCGAAUCCAGAAACCGUAGCUCAGUUCAGAUCGAAGGCUGCAACUCGCCUUCGUGAAGGAGGAAUCGCUAGUAAUUGCAGGUCAGCAUACUGCAGUGAAUUCGUUCCCGGGCCUUGUACACACCGCCCGUCACACCAUGGAAGUUGGUCACGCCCGAAGUCAUUACCCCAACCGAAAGGAGGGGGAUGCCUAAGGUAGGACUGGUGACUGGGGUGAAGUCGUAACAAGGUAGCCGUACCGGAAGGUGUGGCUGGAUCACCUCCUUU
rnacentral:rRNA from 1 species